UUAUAUUGCCGUUAAAAGGAAAGAUUGGUAUUUGCUUAAUAAACAAAUCACAUUUUAGCCUUUAGUUGUAUCUGAAUUUUGAUUUCUUCUGUCUUGUCCAGUAUCGAUGGAAAGCGGCGACGAGAACGCCAUGGCUGAGUAUCGUAACCAAGUACCUUUCGAUGUUAUCAACCCUCCACCAGGUAUAUGCGGCGGGAUCAGCCCCUUCCCAUAACUAACGAAGUUCGCGGUUAUCUCAUUCCUCUAUGCGACCUUGCCUUAGACAAGUACAACACUGAACAGGGUACCAAUUUUGUGUUUGUUGAUAUUAUCAAGUCAACCCAUCAAGGUGUUGCUGGUACUAAUUAUUUCAUCACCUUUCAAGCAAAAUAUCCAAACGGCCCUCUUGUAACUUUCCAGGCCUAUGUUUAUGUCAAUUUGCCCUGUUAUGGAGGACAGCCUGUGGUCGAGUCAUGUGCUAUCAAGCCUACAUAAGUAGCGCAUACACCUUGGUAAUAAUGUUGCAACAGGGCUAUGUAUGCUUACAUAUUCAACUUUGGUUAUACUUUUUUAUUUUUAUUUUGUAUUUGAUUAUGGUAUUUGGAAUGUGCUUCAGCCUUUUUUCUCAUUCAUAGCAAAUAUUAGAAACCAGCAUUGGGCCUGGCAAUACUAAGUUUCAAAAGAGAUUGGAGUUUGUUGAUAAAUCAUCAUCUCAUUCAUUUUUGUAGUCGUGUGUGUACUAACGCGAUAUUGGAUAUGAUACCGACACUGAUAUGUCAACUUAACAUAUUAACAUCAGUUUCAUGUCCGGCGCUGAAACGACAUACCUUUGUUCAGAGGUGUUGGUGUUAUUGAGGUUUAUAUCCUUUUCUUUAACAUCACUUAUUACCUCCUUCAUUUAGGAUGUGCGAUGUGUGUUUUGAUGCUAACUACACAAUAGUACCAAAACACUCUUAUGAUAUUUGAGGGCUUCUCAGUCGAAAUUCAGUUACUCCUUUCCUUGCUCACUGUAAUGGUGUUACAUCUAUGGUUUUAAAUUGCGGCCGGAGAUAUAGUUGCAGGUGUUGUGAUUAAUGCGGUUGUUGCGAUGCACUUUACAGCCGUUGCAAGUUGCGGGUGUUGUAAUUAUUGCGGUUGCUGCGAUGCACGUUACAGCCGUUGAAGCAUGAAUUUUGAUUGAAAAGACUUUGAAAUAUACCAUUAAAAAUCUCUUAAAGAUAAAUUUUUCAGAAGUUGAUUGAGCUUUGGGUUUUAAAUUUAGUUUUGACAAAAAUAUUUGAGGAAACAUGAUCGGGAAUUGUCUGAUGUGAUUACAAUAAGAAAAGAAGUCUGAUUUUAAAUCAUAUCGUAAUUAUGGUUCGAUGCGGUUGCAAAAACUACGACAUCAGCAAUACUACAGUUGCAGAGUAUGGUGUUUUAAAACAAUCAAAGUUGAUGUAUGGUAUUGGUAUGGGAUAUGGUGUUUUAAAAAAUUUGAGGUACCGGUAUGUCUAUAAAAAAUAAGAGUGUUUUUUUAUAUUUCAUUGGUGUUUUUUGAAUUCCUUCCUAUAUAUUUUUACCUUCUAAGACAUCUGAAACGAACUAUUUACUUGGAGGAAUAUAUUAUUUGCUAAGAUGUACAUCUGAAAUAUCAAUUGUAAGUAACUUAGGUAUUUGUAUCUGUUUGAUGCUAUUUUUAAAAUUUACCAUUUCAACGAAGAACCGUAUGCAAAUUUGCUUGUUAUCUCCCGCUAAAGAGGAGCUGGAAGAAUUUU